CUCAGAGUUAAGUCUGGACGGGAUGGAGCCAGGGCGGUGCAGAGCUGACCUGAGACGGCUCCUGGCGAAGCUCCUGUGACCGGCCUGGGUGGUUCCCAGUCUAGGACACCCGGAGGUGCAGAAGAACAGAGGCUAAGGAGUCAAAAACCGAGGCCCUGGCAGAUUCAGUGCUUGGUGAGAACUACCCUUUCUGCUUCCAAGAUGGUACCUGAUGGCCUUGUGCUCAAAUGGCACAAAGGGAAACAAAGAGACAAAGGCGCUUCCUGGAGCACCAAAGCACCAAACCGCACCAAGGCCAGCAGUAGGAGUGCGCAGAAGCGCAGUUGCGCCCCUUUUG